UUUAAUUGAAGAGUUUGAUCAUGGCUCAGAUUGAACGCUGGCGGCAGGCCUAACACAUGCAAGUCGAGCGGCAGCACAGAGGAACUUGUUCCUUGGGUGGCGAGCGGCGGACGGGUGAGUAAUGCCUGGGAAAUUGCCCGGUAGAGGGGGGAUAACCAUUGGAAACGAUGGCUAAUACCGCAUAACCUCGCAAGAGCAAAGCAGGGGACCUUCGGGCCUUGCGCUACCGG
rnacentral:rRNA from 1 species